UACGUAGGGGGCUAGCGUUGUCCGGAAUCAUUGGGCGUAAAGAGCGUGUAGGCGGCUUGGUAGAUCCGCUGUGAAAACUCGAGGCUCAACCUCGAGAUGUCGGCGGAAACUACUUGGCUAGAGUCCGGAAGAGGAGAGUGGAAUUCCUGGUGUAGCGGUGAAAUGCGCAGAUAUCAGGAAGAACACCGAUGGCGAAGGCAGCUCUCUGGGACGGUACUGACGCUGAGACGCGAAAGCGUGGGGAGCGAACAAG
rnacentral:rRNA from 1 species